CCAAAGGCUCUUUUAAGAGCCACCUAAAUGAUCUUAAAAUGGCGU
rfam:Equus caballus chromosome 20, whole genome shotgun sequence.